rnacentral:lncRNA from 1 species
UAUGGAGGUAAGAUUUGUUAGGAAUAUUAUAAAAUUAGGGUUCAUUUAAUUGUAAUUAAAAUCAAAAUUUGGGUUCUAAUAUUCUUUUAAUUAGGAGUUAAUGGGAAUUAGGGUUAGUAUACCAAGUUAAUUGUUUCCUUAAGUCCACAGUAUUCUUUUCUUGUUUUUGUCUGUUUUGUUUUCAAUUGGGCUUGAACCAAAUUUAGGGUCCAACCCUUAUUUCCUUCGAGGGGUCACUUGGCUGUGUCUCAUUCUGCUCUUUUCUUUCUUCCUUAUCUCCUUCAAACCAAAAGUUUGAAGCUUCUGCCUUUCUCUCCACCGCGAACGAACCAUCAUUGGGUUCUUUUUCUUUACAUCUUGACCAGAAGCUUUGAGCUUCUUUUCCAUCUGCAUUCUCGUGGACCACCCAGCUUUGGGGAAAGGCAGCUUUGGCGCGGCGAUAUCGGUAAGGGGACGGCGACUGCACGGUAGAGGCACGGUGAGGGCUGGUAUUUCCUUCGUGACGGCGUGUGUUGCAGUGGCGACUUUUCGCGGCGCAAGGAUGGAGGCCUUAUUCUUCUUUUCCUCUUCUUCCGAAUCUGCGUUUUAGCAUUUGGGUUGGUCUUGAUUUUCUCUGCAGGUCUGGGUUUCGUUAAUUUUGGGGCUUAGGAUUCCGAUUGAAAAGGUUAGGGUUUGAAUUGGGAAAAAUUAUUUUGGGGUUCUGAUACUUGCGAUUGCUGUGUUCCGUGGUGGUGGUCGGAGUCGAGCGAGUGGCGUGGCGGUGGUUGCAGCUAGGGUUGCGGUGGCAAGCUAUAUUGGACUGCUGGGCUUGCAGACUAGCAUUGGGUUGUGGUUUGGACUAACAGAUUGGGGCUGAGCUGAUAGUUUUGGGUCCGACUAACUAUUUGGGCCUGCGGCCCAGUGUUGAGCAGAAACUUAGACAUUGGAUAAUAAUAAUCUGAAUUUAAUUGGGUUGGCUAUGCUUACAAUGGAUGUGUAGAGAAUUCCUAAUGAAUUCAUAAUUAUUGACUUUAAUUAAUAAAAAUUAAAGUGUAAAAUGAGAGAUGAAAUCAUUAAUUUAUAAUAUUAGUUUUUAUAAUUAUAGGAAGAAA